AUUGAACGCUGGCGGCAGGCCUAACACAUGCAAGUCGAGCGGAGCGGCGGACGGGUGAGUAAUGCCUAGGAAUCUGCCUGGUAGUGGGGGAUAAGGUCCGGAACCGGCCGCUAAUACCGAUUAUUAUCCGAUAAGCCUAGGUCGGAUUAGGUAGUUGGUGGGGUAAAGGCCUACCAAGGCGACGAUCCGUAACUGGUCUGAGAGGAUGAUCAGUCACACUGGAACUGAGACACGGUCCAGACUCCUACGGGAGGCAGCAGUGGGGAAUAUUGGACAAUGGGCGAAAGCCUGAUCCAGCCAUGCCGCGUGUGUGAAGAAGGUCUUCGGAUUGUAAAGCACUUUAAGUUGGGAGGCGUUACCAACAGAAUAAGCACCGGCUAACUUCGUGCCAGCAGCCGCGGUAAUAC
rnacentral:rRNA from 1 species